rnacentral:snoRNA from 1 species
UGGAGUUUUAAAUGAUGAGCAACUAGAUAGGGACAACUGAUUGUCUAUUUGAAGAAAAAAGUCUUAAUGCCCGGUUUUUAGUAGAGCCUUGGGCGUCUCUGAAAUAAAAUAUUA